rnacentral:rRNA from 1 species
AAACUGAAGAGUUUGAUCAUGGCUCAGAUUGAACGCUGGCGGCAGGCCUAACACAUGCAAGUCGAGCGGAAACGAUGGAAGCUUGCUUCCAGGCGUCGAGCGGCGGACGGGUGAGUAAUGCAUAGGAAUCUGCCCGGUAGUGGGGGAUAACCUGGGGAAACUCAGGCUAAUACCGCAUACGUCCUACGGGAGAAAGCAGGGGAUCUUCGGACCUUGCGCUAUCGGAUGAGCCUAUGUCGGAUUAGCUAGUUGGUGAGGUAACGGCUCACCAAGGCCGCGAUCCGUAGCUGGUCUGAGAGGAUGAUCAGCCACAUCGGGACUGAGACACGGCCCGAACUCCUACGGGAGGCAGCAGUGGGGAAUAUUGGACAAUGGGCGAAAGCCUGAUCCAGCCAUGCCGCGUGUGUGAAGAAGGCCUUCGGGUUGUAAAGCACUUUCAGUGGGGAAGAAAUCCUCAGGGCCAAUACCCCUGAGGGAGGACAUCACCCACAGAAGAAGCACCGGCUAACUCCGUGCCAGCAGCCGCGGUAAUACGGAGGGUGCAAGCGUUAAUCGGAAUUACUGGGCGUAAAGCGCGCGUAGGCGGCGUGAUCAGCCGGUUGUGAAAGCCCCGGGCUCAACCUGGGAACGGCAUCCGGAACUGUCACGCUAGAGUGCAGGAGAGGAAGGUAGAAUUCCCGGUGUAGCGGUGAAAUGCGUAGAGAUCGGGAGGAAUACCAGUGGCGAAGGCGGCCUUCUGGACUGACACUGACGCUGAGGUGCGAAAGCAUGGGUAGCAAACAGGAUUAGAUACCCUGGUAGUCCAUGCCGUAAACGAUGUCGACUAGCCGUUGGGGUCCUUGUGACCUUUGUGGCGCAGUUAACGCGAUAAGUCGACCGCCUGGGGAGUACGGCCGCAAGGUUAAAACUCAAAUGAAUUGACGGGGGCCCGCACAAGCGGUGGAGCAUGUGGUUUAAUUCGAUGCAACGCGAAGAACCUUACCUACUCUUGACAUCGUGCGAACUUUCCAGAGAUGGAUUGGUGCCUUCGGGAACGCACAGACAGGUGCUGCAUGGCCGUCGUCAGCUCGUGUUGUGAAAUGUUGGGUUAAGUCCCGUAACGAGCGCAACCCCUAUCCCUAUUUGCCAGCGAUUCGGUCGGGAACUCUAGGGAGACUGCCGGUGACAAACCGGAGGAAGGUGGGGAUGACGUCAGGUCAUCAUGGCCCUUACGAGUAGGGCUACACACGUGCUACAAUGGCCGGUACAAAGGGUUGCGAAGCCGCGAGGUGUAGCUAAUCCCGAAAAGCCGGUCUCAGUCCGGAUCGGAGUCUGCAACUCGACUCCGUGAAGUCGGAAUCGCUAGUAAUCGUGAAUCAGAAUGUCACGGUGAAUACGUUCCCGGGCCUUGUACACACCGCCCGUCACACCAUGGGAGUGGACUGCACCAGAAGUGGUUAGCUUAACCUUCGGGAGAGCGAUCACCACGGUGUGGCUCAUGACUGGGGUGAAGUCGUAACAAGGUAGCCGUAGGGGAACCUGCGGCUGGAUCACCUCCUUA